AUGUGCAGGGAGCCAGCAGGGCAGUUACAGCUAACUGAGGCCGGAGGUGUGCAGCGGUUCAGGCAGAGCAGCUACUGGGGAGAUGAGGCAGGAGAAUGUGCAGGGAUCCGGGCAAACACAGCUACAGGGGAGCUGGCGCAGGAGGAUGUGCAGCGAGCCAUCAGGGCAGCUACAGAGGAGCUGAGGCUGGAGGAUGUGCAGGGAGCCAACAGGGCAGCUCACAGGGGAGCUGAGGCAGGAGCCACAACAACAGCCCCAUCUGUCUAUCCACUGACUCCUGCAUGUGGAGGCCCAACUGGCUCCACAGUGACCCUGGGAUGCCUGGUCAAGGGCUAUUUCCCUGAGCCGGCGACCGUAACCUGGAACUCUGGAAGCCUGACCAGCGGCGUGCACAUCUUCCCAUCAGUCCUGGAUUCUGGGCUCUACUCCCUCAGCAGCUCAGUGACUGUGCCCUCCAGCAUGUGGCCCAGCCAGGCCAUCACCUGCAAUGUCGCCCACCCGGCCAGCAGCACCAAGGUGGACAAGAAAAUUGGCCCAGAAAUAUCAUCUGUCUUCAUCUUCCCACCAAAGCUCAAGGAUGUACUCACGAUCUCUCUGGAACCCAAGAUCACAUGUGUUGUGGUGGACAUUAGUCAGGAUGAUCCCGCGGUCCAGUUCAGCUGGUUUGUAGAUGGCAAGGAAGUGCACGAUGUUCAGAAACAGCCCCGGGAGCCACAGUUCAACAGCACCUUCCGAGAAGUCAGUGUCCUCCCCAUCUUACACCAGGACUGGCUAAAUGGCAAGGAGUUCAAAUGCAGGGUCAACAGGGAAGACUUCCCUGCCCCCAUCGAAAAAACCAUCUCCAAAACUAUGGGGCAACUUCGCGUUCCACAGGUAUACACCAUGCCCCCACCCAAGGAGCAGCUGACCAAGAAUGAAGUCAGUCUCACCUGCAUGAUAACGGGUUUCUACCCUGCAGACAUUGAUGUAGAAUGGAAGAGGAAUGGACAACCAGAGAAGAACUACAAGAACACCCCACCCGUCUUGGACACAAAUGAGUCUUUCUUCCUCUACAGCAAGUUCGAUGUGAAAAAGAGUGAUUGGGAGAGUGGAGAUACUUUCGUCUGCUCUGUGGUACACGAGGCCCUGCACAACCACCACACAGAGAAGAAUCUCUCCUACACUCCUGAGCUGGAACUGGACGACAACUGUGCUGAGGCCCUGGACGGGGAGCUGGACGGGCUCUGGACGACCAUCACCAUCUUCAUCACCCUCUUCCUGCUCAGCGUGUGCUACAGUGCCACGGUCACACUCUUCAAGGUAAAGUGGAUCUUCUCCUCAGUGAUGGGACUGAAGCAGACACUGGCUCCUGACUACAAGAACAUGAUCGGACAAGGGCCUUAG